rfam:Angiostrongylus costaricensis strain Costa Rica genome assembly, scaffold: ACOC_contig0000050
GCCUCGACAGCUCAGUUGAGAGAGCGUUAGACUGAAGAUUUAAAGGUCACCAGUUCGAUCCUGGUUCUGAGCA